CGAUGAUGCCCAGCUUGCUGGGCGGAUUAGUGGCGAACGGGUGAGUAAUACGUGAGUAACCUGCCCUUGACUCUGGGAUAAGCCUGGGAAACUGGGUCUAAUACUGGAUACUACCUCUUACCGCAUGGUGGGUGGUGGAAAGGGUUUUACUGGUUUUGGAUGGGCUCACGGCCUAUCAGCUUGUUGGUGGGGUAAUGGCUCACCAAGGCGACGACGGGUAGCCGGCCUGAGAGGGUGACCGGCCACACUGGGACUGAGACACGGCCCAGACUCCUACGGGAGGCAGCAGUGGGGAAUAUUGCACAAUGGGCGGAAGCCUGAUGCAGCGACGCCGCGUGAGGGAUGACGGCCUUCGGGUUGUAAACCUCUUUCAGUAGGGAAGAAGCGAGAGUGACGGUACCUGCAGAAGAAGCGCCGGCUAACUACGUGCCAGCAGCCGCGGUAAUACGUAGGGCGCAAGCGUUGUCCGGAAUUAUUGGGCGUAAAGAGCUCGUAGGCGGUUUGUCGCGUCUGCUGUGAAAGCCCGGGGCUCAACCCCGGGUCUGCAGUGGGUACGGGCAGACUAGAGUGCAGUAGGGGAGACUGGAAUUCCUGGUGUAGCGGUGAAAUGCGCAGAUAUCAGGAGGAACACCGAUGGCGAAGGCAGGUCUCUGGGCUGUUACUGACGCUGAGGAGCGAAAGCAUGGGGAGCGAACAGGAUUAGAUACCCUGGUAGUCCAUGCCGUAAACGUUGGGCACUAGGUGUGGGGGACAUUCCACG
rnacentral:rRNA from 1 species